rnacentral:rRNA from 1 species
GUGCACGCUGGCGGUAGGCCUAACCCCUGCAAGUCGCACGGCAGCACAGUAAGAGCUUGCUCUUACGGGUGGCGAGUGGCGGACGGGUGAGGAAUACAUCGGAAUCUACUUUUUCGUGGGGGAUAACGUAGGGAAACUUACGCUAAUACCGCAUACGACCUACGGGUGAAAGCAGGGGAUCUUCGGACCUUGCGCGAUUGAAUGAGCCGAUGUCGGAUUAGCUAGUUGGCGGGGUAAAGGCCCACCAAGGCGACGAUCCGUAGCUGGUCUGAGAGGAUGAUCAGCCACACUGGAACUGAGACACGGUCCAGACUCCUACGGGAGGCAGCAGUGGGGAAUAUUGGACAAUGGGCGCAAGCCUGAUCCAGCCAUACCGCGUGGGUGAAGAAGGCCUUCGGGUUGUAAAGCCCUUUUGUUGGGAAAGAAAAGCAGCAGGUUAAUACCCCGCUGUUCUGACGGUACCCAAAGAAUAAGCACCGGCUAACUUCGUG